rnacentral:lncRNA from 1 species
CACCAUGCACUGGUGAUAUGGAGCAAAACCAACUGGCAGGGAAGCCACGAACACAACACACCACAACACACACCUUUUCUACAGUAUUUUGGGUGCCUACCACACAGGAAACCUUGAAGAAAGCAAAACCCUAGAAGCCGCUGUUACCUCUUGUUUACAGUUUAUAUAUAUAUGAUAGAUAUGAGAUAUAGAUAUAUAUAUAUAUAAAAGGUACUGUUACUACUGUACAACCUGACUUCAUAAUGGUGCUUUUAAACAGCGGGGUGAGUCAAGACAUCAGCUUCCAUGUUGCCUUACGUGCCAGGCCUUUCCGGAGCUGCGCGGGGAGGGGGGCCGGGGCGGCCGGCGGGGCCGGGGCGGGAAGCCCCCACCCCGAGUCAUGCAAUAACCUUUUUCUGUCCCAAAAGGAAGCGCCUCCCUCGGCGGCCGCCCAGGCCCGACGUACUGGUGCUGUUCUGCGUACGUGGCCCUGAGGGUGCUGAGGUCCGGGACGCGCCGGCGCGGAGGCAGGCAGGGACGCAGGCGGAGCAGGGGGGGGGGGCGGCCGCGGGGGGGGAGCGCAGGGACUGGUGCUAAGGCGCGGGGAGGCUCGGAGAGGUCUCCGGCCCCGUCGCCGUCUCUUCCUGUAACUGUGAAAGGCACCGAGGAGGGGGGACACCUGUGCAUGGGGGGGCGGGGGCCAGGCCGCCCAUCCCCUGGGACCCCCCCCUCCCCGGCUGUCGCUGGAGGGCCGCCGGCAGCUCGGUGCGGGGUGCUGGUAAUUCGCAGCGAGCCGCGCUGGUGGCGAGCGGGCACCCGUGGGUGCCGCGGGGUGCUUGGAGAGGUGCUAGGACCCACAGCGGUGGGGGCAGGUGGAGGGGGCGCCCCGGCCCCCCCCUCCCGGCUCCCUCCACAUGGUGCUAGGAGGGGCUCCUGGGCCCCUGUUGUCGGUGUGUGGCGGCAGGCACGGGUGGCACCAGGCUGAGGUGCCCUGCGGCACCAUUGGCGAGCCUUGCACGGCCCCGCAGCACAGGGUGCAAACCUUGCACGGCCCCGUAGCUCUGUGUGCCCGUCCUGCAUCGUGCUGCAGAACCAGCUGCGAGCCCUGCGUGGCCCCGUUUGGGGGUCCCACACGGCCCCGCAGCACGGGGUGCGCGCAUGGCACGGCCCCGCAGCGCUGCUCUCGGCUCCUGCACGGCCCUGCAGCGGUGCCUGCGGCUUGUGCAAGCCCUGCACGACCCUGCAGCGCCGGGCACGAGCCCCGUGUGCCCCGGCAGCGCCGCUCGGGGGUCCCUGCGGACCCCACGGUGCGUUCCCCGGGACCCGCUCACCCCAUGGCACCUCCCGUGGGUCCGGUCCCCGGCGCGGCACCGAGCACAAGUCGCGCGCAGCUCCCGGCCCCGCCGCAGCGCGGGGGCUCCUCCGCCCACCCCGGGCGCCCGUGCCUGGGCCGCCCGGGCUGGGCAGAGGGGCCGGGGCCGGUGCCGGUGCCGGCGGAACGCAGGUUCCUGCCGCGGCACAACUGGAAGGCGCCGGGGCUGCUCGGGGCCGCUCGGGGCACCGGCACCCCUUUGGUGGCCGCCGGGUCUCCGUGGGGCCGUGGGGAUGCGUGGGGAAAGAGUUCAGUUUUUAACGUACCCGACUCACGUCUUUUUUUAAAAAAAACAAACAGACAAAAUUUUGUUGCACAGCCCUAG